CGGAGGGAGGGAAGAGAUCCCGACCGCCUGCCCGGGCUCCUCUUGCCUUUAUUUAUUUUUCUGACACUACGCGGGGACGGGCCCGGGGCGCGGGCCGCGGGGCUCGCGAGGGAGCGCGAGGCCCGGGCCGCGAGCAGGCUGCGUGCGGGAGCCGCAGCGGCCGCCUCCCCUCCCGGGCCGUGGACGCACCGGGUUAUUCCUGGCAGCGCCUCCCCGAACAGAAGUUACUAGGAGGAGUGCGCGGCGAGGGCGGGCGCGGGGGGAGGCGGAGGGAGGGAGGGAGGGAGGAAGAGGGAGAGACUCAGCCAGCGACGUCAUCGGAUCCCCCAGCGCGUCCCAGGGAGGGAGGCUGAACCAGAAAAACCAGUCUGGAGCCCGAGAGCGAGAGCGGGAUGUGCGGCGCGCGGGGCGGCGGGGAGGGAGGGAGCGAGGCGGGGAGGGAGGCUACGGCGAGGGCAGGGCCGGGCCCCGCUGCGGCCGCUCGGGCCGGGGAGACCGCGGCCGCGCUCCGCUCGCUGCGAGCGGGGAACUCCCCCGAGAGCCGCUCUCUGCUUGUCAGGCAAAAAAAAAAAAAAAAAAAAAAAACUUGGGCGUCUCUAGGAGCCUGAGAAUUUCCUUUAGGGACGUGGAAACCGCCCCCCUCCCCAACUUCCUCAUUUCCCCCUUAAAAUCUAAUCGUUCCCUGUCUUGAUGACACACGGAAUUAGAGAAUAAUUAGUAUUGUCAUCGGGAUUCUGGCCGUGUACCUCUGACCCCUUUCCUCUCCCUCCCCCAGCCUCCGCUCACGGUUCUGUUAGGGUCAAAAAAAAAAAAAAAAAAAAAAAAUCAGACUCGCUGCCGGCGGCGUUUCUGGAGCUCUGCAAAGCUUUUUCCUAGCUCUUUCCGUGCCCCUGCGGAAGCGCGAACUUUUCACGCGCCUGAAAUGCCCCAACUGCUCUCCCUGGGGUCACUCACCAGGGCGCCCGGGGCGCACCCAGCUCGCGGCGCGCGGCCGGCCCCCGCGGGGGAUUCCAACCGGCCGGGGCAGCGGCCGGUUCCUGGGGGGUCUGGCCGGCGCGCGGCCUCGCCUGGAGGACCCGCGAGCGGAUCGCAGCCCGCGCGGGGCCCGGGGGCGGGGGUGUGGCCAUGAAUCCUGUGGAGCAUCCUUUUGGAGGUGGCAACCACCAGCACAUGGGCAAACCCUCUACUAUCCGCAGAGAUGCCCCUGCUGGCCGCAAAGUGGGUCUUAUUGCUGCCCGCCGGACUGGGCGUCUCCGGGGAACCAAGACUGUGCAGGAGAAGGAGAACUAGGCUUGAGGGGCUCAAUAAAGUGUGUCCUUCAAACAUUGUAUGUUCUUAUAAAUAUAACAUUCAUUUGGGGAAGUGAAAGGGAAAAUAAGGGAAGGGAGAAGAAAUGUGUGGGAAAUAUCAGAAAGGGAGACAGAACGUAAAGACUGCUAACUCUGGGAAACGAACUAGGGGUGGUAGAAGGGGAGGAGGGCGGGGGGUGGGAGUGAAUGGGUGACGGGCACUGGGGGUUAUUCUGUAUGUUAGUAAAUUGAACACCAAUAAAAAAAUAUAUAAAAAAUAAAAAUAAAAAAAA
rnacentral:lncRNA from 12 species